GAUUAUUUUGUUUAUAAUUUAAUAAUAUAUCUUAUGUAGCCCUAUGUAUUCAAAAUAUUAUGUUAACAUGUAAUCCAUGUUUCUUUUUCAAAUCUAAAGUUAAAAAAAUAGCAGAAGCCAGUGUCUUAAAGUCUGUCUUUUAUUUUUGUUUCUAAGACCAUGGGAUUUCAAAAUCUCAAGAUAAAAUAUGUAUGAAGUAAUUAAUGUAGAAUUUUUACAUCGAAUAAUAAAUAAUGCUCAAUAAACUAGAGAUAUGAGAUGUGUAGGAAAUUUGGUUAAACUUUUUUCAGAUACUUUCUGGCCCAAAUAAUAAUUUGUUAGCAAAUAAUAUGACCCUUGAACUCAAUGGCCAUCUAUUAAAAGACUGUUGUUCACACUGGAAAACAUUUAAAGAUGUAACUAUAUCCAUAGGUGGAUUGAUUGAAUCACUCAAAAUAUAUUAGUAUCCUUCUUUAGGGAUGGUUGGUUGCAGACAUGUGUUUAUUCAGGAGGCAGAAAAUAUUCCAUUUUAAUUGCUUAUUAAAGAAAACAUUAAAUUCUAAAUUAUUUUGAGGACUGUGGAGACUUUUCAUUAGUAUAAUAUUAGGUCAUUGUCAAUCUCCCAGAAUGUAGUUCUGUAUUCUCUAAAUAUGAAAGUAUCCAGAAAGGCCAGUGGUAGUAAAAAGCUUAGUGUAUAUAAUCUCAAAAAGGAUAGAAUAUUUACAACUCAUAUUUAUAACAUGUUGAAUCUUAUCAGUUAUCAGUAGUCAUCAGAAGUAUCAAUAGCUUUCUAAAUAAAUAUUAAAUAUCUACUGUGCUGUAGUUGAAGGAGUAAUUUUUAGUAAUUUUCUCUUUACAAAGUCUCCAGUGUUUCAAGGUAAAUGUUUGUGAAACAAAAUAUCACAAACUACAUUAAGUUACUGCAGUGUAUUGUUGCCAAAAAUGACAAGAUAUUAUAUUAAAAUCAGUAAAUUUUAGACAAAUUUUUAAAAUUAAUUAGCCUACAAUAGAGGUAUAUAUGGUAACACGGUGAUCUUCUAAGCAGUUGAGUGAGUGACUGUUCUGGCAACAACGACUUCUCUGUGACUAAAGGGCCCUGUUCAUUUCCUGAUCCUGAAGCUCGUCUCCCUUUUGAGUCUUGGCUUGCUUUGGUCGAUGGUUUCCCUCAGCUUUUUCUUCGCUGUUCUUCAUCCUCGUUGUUGCUGUCAUCAUGUUCACUGUGGCUUUUACAAUACAGCCUGUAAAUUCCUUAUGACAUAGUUCAGUGCAUUUGGCUUUAUCGCCUACUCCACAGUUCUUUACCUUGACUUGGCUUAGAGAAACCAUAUCUUUGUUGCUUCAUGUAACCUUUCCCCAACCCCACUAAGCUGGACAUAACUUAUUAGUGGUCCUCCAGUCACUUUAUUUGUAGAAAUCUCCUUUUCACUUCAGCAGGGGUUCUUUCAUAUGGUCUAGCUGACAGCAGAACUAGUGAUUCUAGACAUUUUGCAUGGCCCUCAUUCAGUGGCUCACAAACAUGAGGGAGCAUCAGAACUACUUGAGGGGCUUGUUAAAACCCAGUGCGUUAGAGGCCGGAUGAGGUGGCUCACGCCUGUAAUCCCAGCACUUUGGGAGGCUGAGGCAGGCGGAUCACUCGAGGUUAGGAGUUCAAGACCAGCCUGGCCAACAUGGUGAAACCCCAUCUCUACUAAAAAUACAAAAGUUAGCCAGGUGUGGUGGUGCAUGCCUGUAAUCCCAGCUUCUCGGGAGGCCAAGGCACAAGAAUCGCUUGAACCAGGAGACGGAGGUUUCAGUGAACGAAGAUCGUGCCAUUGUAUUCCAGCCUCGGCGACACAGCGAGACUGUGAUUUUCUUUGGAGACUCCUAGAUUUUCUGUGGUUUUGAACUGAGUUUGUUGGAUGUUGACAAGUUCCUCUUAUGAGCUGUUUCUUUAUCCUGCAUUUGCCCCACGAAGACUUACCUGGAGGUGAGCAAAGUAUGUUUGGUAGUGAGGUCACAAAGGCAAUCAGCCCCUUCCUCCCCACUCCCAUUGCCAUCUUCUCAGUCCUUCUCCCUUUCUUUCCAAGUAGUUUACCCACCCCUCCUCUUUCCUCCCCUGUCCCUAAAAUAAUCCACGUGUCUUCCUAAAAUCUCUCUUUGAUCCUGUCCUUUGAUAACACCGUCAGUGCCUACUACUGGGUCUAGACAGACCUCUGUUGAGCAGUCAGAGUCUUCCCUGACUCCACAAUGCCCCUUUCCUUGGCUGACCAGUAUGACUACUGGUCCCCACCUUUCCCUUGCCUAUCCCUACCUCCCUCCUACUAGGUUGUCCCAUCCCUCUCUUCACCCAUUCAUUCAUGACCAUUUUUCACUACCAAGCUCCCCCCGCCCCUCCCGAAGGAGGCUGAGGUUUUUGUGACUCUCUAGACUCUAUUGUGGGAUGGAAUGAACAUUGCUAAAGAAUCUCGUGUUCGCUUUACUUUAAAAAGGUAUUUUUUUCCUAAUUAUAAAACUGAUGUGUCAGUUAUGGAAAAAUUAGAAAUGCAGCACAAAUACAUGAAUAUUUUACCACAAAAUUGCCAUAUAAUAUCUUGUCUUUUUUGGGGGUGUGAAUUUUUUGCAUUGUUCUGAUCAUAUUGUGUUCUUUAUCAUGUAAUUUAUGUUCUCUUUUACUAAAUAUUAUGUGUGGUUAUUAUAGAUUUUCACAAAGAUACUUUAUAUUGCUGGUAAUAUAUUUUAUUGUGUAGUCUUAUAAUUUACUUAACCUUCUUUCAAUUGUUAGAAAUUUAGGUUAUUUCCAGAUUUUCAGUAUUGUAAAUAAUGCUGUGAUGACCAAUUUUGUGAAUAAAAUGUUUUUAU
ensembl:lncRNA